rnacentral:lncRNA from 1 species
AAUAUACCCACAAUCCUCUUUCACGUUCUUCCUUUAGUUUCAAAAGAAAAAAAAAAACGUUCUUCCCUUUGCCGGCGGCAACCGCGACCUAGAUCGACGUGGUGUGGUGGUGGACGCUUCUCUAACCAGCAUGCCAAAGUCGUUUGCCUCUUCUUCUUACGUCCUUCUUGAACCGGUUUGUUUUUCUUCAAUUCAGUUGUUUACACAGUUUACAAUUUCAAUUUUUCUAUACUGUUUUUAUUUCAGUGGUUGAUUGUUUCCAUGGAAUUUUAAGACUUUAAUAUGAGUCUAGUUUCUUUUCUGCAAUUGUGGCGUUGCAUUUCUACAUUUGUACAAUCUGAUUUUUAUGAUGCCCUUAAGCUGUUCGAUAAAAUGCUUCAUUGAAGUGUCUUCGUUCAAUUACUUUGUAAAAAUAUUGGUGUCAAUCCAGGCUCUGAGUUUGGAGUGGCAUGUGAUGAAGCAAACUAAUAUGGUUGUUUUUUUUUUUGUUAAGCCAAAAUACUUCUUCUUCUUUUUUUGACUCUAGGUACUGUUCUGUUACUUUUUAUUUGUACUAUCUACUCACUUGUAAGAGUUUGUUUCUAAUAUCCUAGUUGCUAAUUUCUUGUUUUCCUUGGCUGGGUUUUGAGCAUAUUCAGCAGGUGGAAUCUCACAUGACCUCUCUUUUUAUGAUGCUAAGGAGCUGUUUUUCGAGCAGAGUUGUUUUUCGCCUCAUCUGGUUCCCUGUUUUGCUGUUUAUUUUUUCUGCAACCUUAGGAGCUGCUGCAGAACACGUUUUCUAUGUGACCGAAGAGCACACAUCAAGAAAUCACAAUGCCUUAGAACAUCCCUUGUAGCCACUUUAUCAGAUUUUCUGUGACACAGUAUAAUGAGUACAGAAACUAUUUUUCAAAGUUGAGGAUUUGAAAAAAUUGAGGAUUUUUCUGAAGCAAUAUUUGGUAAAUUUUAGGUAUCUGUUUGAAAUUCAUAAUGAGGAUUUGAGAAUGAGAAUCUAAGUGAAUCAAUUGAAAUCUGUAACGCA